UGUCGUCAGCUCGUGUUGUGAAAUGUUGGGUUAAGUCCCGCAACGAGCGCAACCCUUAUCCUUUGUUGCCAGCGGUCCGGCCGGGAACUCAAAGGAGACUGCCAGUGAUAAACUGGAGGAAGGUGGGGAUGACGUCAAGUCAUCAUGGCCCUUACGACCAGGGCUACACACGUGCUACAAUGGCGCAUACAAAGAGAAGCGACCUCGCGAGAGCAAGCGGACCUCAUAAAGUGCGUCGUAGUCCGGACUGGAGUCUGCAACUCGACUCCAUGAAGUCGGAAUCGCUAGUAAUCGUGGAUCAGAAUGCCACGGUGAAUACGUUCCCGGGCCUUGUACACACCGCCCGUCACACCAUGGGAGUGGGUUGCAAAAGAAGUAGGUAGCUUAACCUUCGGGAGGGCGCUUACCACUUUGUGAUUCAUGACUGGGGUGAAGUCGUAACAAGGUAACCGUAGGGGAACCUGCGGUUGGAUCACCUCCUU
rnacentral:rRNA from 1 species